rnacentral:lncRNA from 1 species
CCUCCUGUGCUAGCCUCUCAAGCAGCUAGGACUACAGUUUUACUUGCUUCCAACAGGAAGGCAAGUUUUCCUCCUUCCAUGACGAUGAAAGGCAGGUAACUCCUUUAUGGAAUUUGAGCUGGCUUCCAACAGGGAAGAUGAGGUUUUUUUUCCUGCCUCUAGAAUAGUAGAGAGCAGUCUACAGCCUGAGACCCAUCACUAGGACACAAUUGAAGAAACUGGUAGUUUUACCAAGGCUUUGACUGGAAUGGUGCACUUUCCUAUAAGGAAUCAAACUUGACUUAAGAAGCCAAUAAAGCCCUUGGAAAAACUGGCCUCAUAUUUUGUGUACACAGUCCGUGUACAGGGUUUCUGGCCUGUGAGACAGAGUGUCACUAUGUUGCCCAAGCUGGAC